rnacentral:lncRNA from 1 species
AUUCUAUUUCUCUGGUUUCUCAUCGUAUCCAUCACGACUUUCGUACCAUCAUCAAACCGAUUGGCUUCUAAAACUAGUAGUAGGAAAUCCAGGUGCUAUAAUUUAUACAAACGCCUGAUAGUUUUUAUAUGCUCCUGGAAAUACUGUUAACACAGGAGUUAAUGAUAAUAAGUUUGUUGGCGGUUUUCCUCCUUUGUCAGCCAUCAGUUUUUGAGGGAUGAUUUUAUUGUUGGUGUAAAUUAUAUGCCUUUUGAUCAUUGUUUUGCCAUAUUGCCCUGAAACAAGGAUUAGGUCAUAGGUGUGUGUAACCAAGGUUUUGAUUCCCUUUGUAUUAUCAACUUGUGAGAUCGAAGUUCAAUUGGUUAUGCUGUUUUGAUGCUUAAUAUGGUGGGGAACAUGGUUCGUGCUCUACGGUGUACCACCGAUAUUUAAUUUCUUAAUUGUGGGUGCUUGUACGAAGUAGUAACUGGUUGACCUCAAGAUACACUAGUUAAGACCAUAGGUUGUACCAUUGUGAAAUCCGAGUUUGAGAUAUUAGGUUUGAUAUCAGUUAUAACCACAGAUGACACCAACUUGAGCAAGAAUUGGGGAAUGUCUAAAUUUUAAGAACUCGUCGAGAAGUGCUUUUUGUUAAACUGAUUCAUAGAGGCUUUAACAUUUCGAAGCCUUGCAUAGAUUCGUUCAAACCCUUACUUGUGAUGUAGCGCUGCGGACCGAUUCCAAGCAUACUUAAUGGAAUAAAAGUAUCCGCAUAGCCAGCCCAUUCCACCCGGAAGUUGAAG